CUUUCAAAGCAAUUAGAAUAGUCAAGAACUUUCUCCCUUUCAUACCCAUGGAUCCUACACCAAAAGAAAGAAAAGCUCUCAACUCUUCUCUCCCUCUCACACCUAUAGGUCUAGCAGCAAGAAGAAAGCUUCUUUCAACUCUCUCAAGCUCUCUACCUCUCAUACUUUCGGGUCCAGUCACUAGGAAAGGGAAAUCCUUUCAUGCAAGAGUGAUUCUAUGUCUAUUUCCCUCAAGAACCAUAAAUUGGUGUUACCAGUUCCCAAGUCUAAGCUCCUUCGACUAUAGGCUUUCAAUUCCUCUGCUUUCAAGUAAGGGAUAAGUUAUAUGAGCAUUUGUCAACAGGUUUUAUUUUGGAGCAGAGGGAGUCUUUGUCAAGUUUUGGAAGGAGCUAGUUUUAGUUUUAAUGUAUAGAUCCCAAAUUAGCAGUUGAUGUUUUGCUUGGUAGUAUUGUGUAUUUUAAGAUCUAAUGAUAGUUGUGUACCUUAAAGUAUUAAGAGAUGUAUUAUGUGAAAGUGUGGAUAUUGAAUGAUUGGUGGAUUAUGUUAUUUUUUGAGUAUAGUGUAGAUGCUCUGAAUAUCAGGCGAAUUUUUUUAUCAGUA